GUUUGAUCAUGGCUCAGAACGAACGCUUGCGGCGUGCUUAACACAUGCAAGUCGAACGAGAAAGGGGCUUCGGCCCUGAGUAAAGUGGCGCACGGGUGAGUAACGCGUAGGUAAUCUACCCCUGUGUUCGGGACAACAUCGGGAAACUGGUGCUAAUACCGGAUACGGUUCACGGAUUGCGAAAUAAGUGAAGGAAAGAUGGGGACCCUUCGGGGCCUAUUGCACGGGGAUGAGCCUGCGUACCAUUAGCUAGUUGGCAGGGUAAGGGCCUACCAAGGCGACGAUGGUUAGCGGGUCUGAGAGGAUGAUCCGCCACACUGGCACUGGAACACGGGCCAGACUCCUACGGGAGGCAGCAGUGGGGAAUAUUGGACAAUGGGCGCAAGCCUGAUCCAGCCAUGCCGCGUGAGUGAUGAAGGCCUUAGGGUCGUAAGGCUCUUUCGCCAGGGACGAUAAUGACGGUACCUGGAUAAGAAGCCCCGGCUAACUUCGUGCCAGCAGCCGCGGUAAUACGAAGGGGGCUAGCGUUGUUCGGAAUCACUGGGCGUAAAGCGCAUGCAGGCGGAUCGAUAAGUCGGGGGUGAAAGCCCGAGGCUCAACCUCGGAACUGCCUUCGAUACUGUCGAUCUUGAGUCCGGGAGAGGUGAGUGGAACUCCGAGUGUAGAGGUGAAAUUCGUAGAUAUUCGGAAGAACACCAGUGGCGAAGGCGGCUCACUGGCCCGGUACUGACGCUGAGAUGCGAAAGCGUGGGGAGCAAACAGGAUUAGAUACCCUGGUAGUCCACGCCGUAAACGAUGAGUACUAGCUGUCGGAGGUUACCCCCUUCGGUGGCGCAGCUAACGCAUUAAGUACUCCGCCUGGGAAGUACGCUCGCAAG
rnacentral:rRNA from 1 species